GGAUCUUUCCAUGCAAGUCGAACGGCAGCGCGAGAGAGCUUGCUCUCUUGGCGGCGAGUGGCGGACGGGUGAGUAAUAUAUCGGAACGUGCCCAGUAGCGGGGGAUAACUACUCGAAAGAGUGGCUAAUACCGCAUACGCCCUACGGGGGAAAGGGGGGGAUCGCAAGACCUCUCACUAUUGGAGCGGCCGAUAUCGGAUUAGCUAGUUGGUGGGGUAAAGGCUCACCAAGGCAACGAUCCGUAGCUGGUUUGAGAGGACGACCAGCCACACUGGGACUGAGACACGGCCCAGACUCCUACGGGAGGCAGCAGUGGGGAAUUUUGGACAAUGGGGGAAACCCUGAUCCAGCCAUCCCGCGUGUAUGAUGAAGGCCUUCGGGUUGUAAAGUACUUUUGGCAGAGAAGAAAAGGUAUCCCCUAAUACGGGAUACUGCUGACGGUAUCUGCAGAAUAAGCACCGGCUAACUACGUGCCAGCAGCCGCGGUAAUACGUAGGGUGCAAGCGUUAAUCGGAAUUACUGGGCGUAAAGCGUGUGUAGGCGGUUCGGAAAGAAAGAUGUGAAAUCCCAGGGCUCAACCUUGGAACUGCAUUUUUAACUGCCGAACUAAAAUUUGUCAAAAGGGGGUGAAAAUCCACGUGUAGCCGUGGAAUGCGUUAAUAUGUUGUGGAUUACGGCAUGGGCAAAGGUAGCCCCCCCCCUAAUUACUGACCCCAAAAUUCAAAGGAGUAGGCUGAAUCAGCAAGCUUAGAAUACCUUUGUGUGCUAUGCACCUCCCUUGGUAGGUCAAUAUGAGUAAUUGAAGGUCGCACAAGACAUUCU
rnacentral:rRNA from 1 species